AAAGCUAUGUUUUCAGGGAUCAUUUCUCUAGUUGGUGAGUGGAGAAGGGUGGCUGUAAAAGCCUGGCCUUGCUAGCCAUGAUGAAGAUCUGUAGUGUUUCUUUCUGAGCAUGACAAUGGUAGAGAGUGCUGUUCUGUGGCAGCUGCUUUCUGCUGUGGAAGAGUGUCUUGUUCUUCCUGAGAGGAGCAGGGGAAGGAAACACAGUCUGAGUGGU
ensembl:snoRNA U3 Small nucleolar RNA U3